rnacentral:rRNA from 1 species
CCUACGGGAGGCAGCAGUGAGGAAUAUUGGUCAAUGGACGCAAGUCUGAACCAGCCAUGUAGCGUGCAGGAUGACUGCCCUAUGAGUUGUAAACUUCUUUUGUACAAGGAUAAAGUCAGGCACGUGUGCCUUUUUGUAUGUACUUUAUGAAUAAGGAUCGGCUAACUCCGUGCCAGCAGCCGCGGUAAUACGGAGGAUCCGAGCGUUAUCCGGAUUUAUUGGGUUUAAAGGGUGCGUAGGCGGGCGGUUAAGUUAGAUGUGAAAGCUCGAGGCUCAACCGUGAAAUUGCAACUGAUACUGGCAGGCUAGAGAACAGUUGCGGUAGGCGGAAUGUGUGGUGUAGCGGUGAAAUGCUUAGAGAUCACAAAGAACUCCGAUUGCGAAGGCAGCUUACCAAGCUACUUCUGACAUUGAGGCACGAAAGCGUGGGGAGCAAACAGGAUUAGAUACCCUGGUAGUC